rnacentral:lncRNA from 1 species
AAGAAAGGGGGGUUUGGAUUAUUUUCACUGAAAAAUAAAACCUUUUAGCAAUGCUACACACACCAAGGUAAUAACAAACAACACAGAAGUUUAACCUGGUUCGCUUGAAAAUCAAAGCUACUCCAGUCCACCCGGCCAAGAUGAUUUUGCCUUCAAUAAGGACUUAAUCCAAUAAUCUAGAAAGAUUACAACAAUCAUCUAAGAGUUCAACAAUCUCUUAUCCCU